rnacentral:rRNA from 1 species
CAGCCGCAGCGGUAAUACGAAGGGUGCAAGCGUUAAUCGGAAUUACUGGGCGUAAAGCGUGCGUAGGCGGUUUGUUAAGUCUGCUGUGAAAUCCCCGGGCUCAACCUGGGAAUGGCAGUGGAUACUGGCAAGCUAGAGUGUGUCAGAGGAUGGUGGAAUUCCCGGUGUAGCGGUGAAAUGCGUAGAGAUCGGGAGGAACAUCAGUGGCGAAGGCGGCCAUCUGGGACAACACUGACGCUGAGGCACGAAAGCGUGGGGAGCAAACAGGAUUAGAUACCCGGGUAGUCCCUGUCUCUUAUAC